UUACGUUUUGAGACACAGUGACCGCAACAUGGCUGCGGCAUGAAGUUCUCUUGCUAAUCUGUUUUUGAAUGCGUUUUUGCUCUUUAUUCAGUCAUGUUAUUCACGGCUGUAUUUGUAUUUGAUCUACUUGUAUUUGAUAUUAGAUUGUAAUCUGUAUUUGAUCUACAUGCCUGGGUUGUUUGUGUAACUUAUUAGUUUAUUUUGUCGCUAAUGUGCAAGUAGACGUAAAGGUAGCAGAUUAUGUGCUCGUGAAGUUUAUUAUUUAUCAGAGCACCAGCAGCAGCAUCAUUUACGAAACAUCUGAUCUCUUUAAGCCUCGAAGAUGCCUGAGAUUAAAGUCACACCUUUAGGUGCUGGUCAGGAUGUCGGGCGCAGCUGCAUUCUGGUCUCUAUCGGAGGGAAAAACAUCAUGCUUGACUGUGGGAUGCACAUGGGCUACAAUGAUGAUAGACGUUUUCCGGAUUUCAGUUACAUUACCCAAAAUGGUCGCCUCACCGAGUUCUUAGACUGUGUCAUCAUAAGUCAUUUCCAUCUGGAUCACUGCGGUGCUCUGCCCUACAUGAGUGAGAUGGUGGGUUACGACGGGCCCAUUUACAUGACCCACCCUACCAAAGCCAUCUGCCCCAUUCUGCUGGAGGACUUCAGAAAGAUCACGGUGGACAAAAAGGGGGAGACAAACUUUUUCACCGCACAGAUGAUCAAAGACUGCAUGAAGAAGGUUGUGCCUUUGAACCUCCAUCAAACGGUUCAGGUGGAUGAAGAGCUUGAGAUCAAAGCUUACUAUGCCGGUCACGUACUGGGAGCGGCCAUGGUCCAAAUCAAAGUUGGCUUAGAAUCUGUCGUCUACACAGGGGAUUACAACAUGACACCAGACCGUCAUUUGGGAGCUGCUUGGAUCGAUAAAUGUCGACCGGAUAUUUUGAUAUCCGAGUCCACAUAUGCCACCACGAUCAGAGACUCGAAACGCUGCAGGGAGAGAGAUUUCUUAAAGAAAGUUCAUGAGACGGUGGAAAGAGGAGGGAAGGUCUUGAUUCCCGUGUUUGCUCUGGGAAGAGCUCAAGAACUCUGCAUCCUGUUGGAAACGUUCUGGGAGAGAAUGAAUCUGAAAGCCCCCAUAUAUUUCUCCACGGGCCUGACUGAGAAAGCCAACCACUACUACAAGCUUUUCAUCACCUGGACCAAUCAGAAGAUUCGCAAGACCUUUGUACAGCGAAACAUGUUCGAGUUCAAGCACAUCAAAGCUUUUGAUCGGGCCUACGCAGAUAACCCUGGGCCAAUGGUUGUGUUUGCCACUCCUGGAAUGUUGCAUGCUGGGCAAUCCUUACAUAUAUUUAAGAAAUGGGCUGGCAAUGAAAAGAACAUGGUCAUCAUGCCGGGUUAUUGUGUGCAAGGAACUGUGGGACACAAAAUCCUGAAUGGGCAGAAGAAACUGGAGAUGGAGGGAAGAUCAACGCUGGACGUGAAGCUGCAGGUGGAGUACAUGUCAUUCAGCGCUCACGCAGACGCUAAAGGCAUCAUGCAGCUGAUCCGCAUGGCCGAACCGCGUAACAUGCUGCUGGUGCACGGAGAGGCCAAGAAAAUGGAGUUCCUCAAGGACAAGAUCGAACAGGAAUUCGAUAUCAGUUGCUUUAUGCCAGCCAAUGGAGAGACGACGACCGUCGUGACGAACCCCAACGUCCCAGUGGACAUCUCGCUCAACCUGCUCAAGAGAGAAAUGGCUCUUGGAGGUCCAUUGCCGGAUUCUAAAAGGCCUCGCACCAUGCACGGCACGUUAAUAAUGAAAGACAAUAGUCUGCGGCUGGUUUCACCAGAACAGGCUCUCAAAGAGCUCGGCCUCAGUGAACAUCAACUGCGCUUUACCUGCCGCGUCCAGCUGCACGACUCCCACAGCGACAGCGACACGCUCGGGCGCAUUUACACAUAUCUCAAGAGCGCAUUGAAAAAUUACGGCGUCCAGCACCUGCCUGACAGUACCGUUAUCGUGGAGUCCAUUGUUAUUAAAGUGACCUCAUCGCCUGAGGAGCCAAACCUCAAAGUCAUCCUGCUCUCCUGGAGUUAUCAGGAUGAAGAAUUGGGCAGUUUUUUGUCAACGCUGUUGAAGAAGGGUUUGCCUUCGUGACUCUGAUAAAUAUGCACUGCUGUUUGACUAUUGUUUCAAAAAUAAUAAAGUUUUUUUUUUAGGAAAAAGGAAUUCAUCUACUUGACUGAUUUGCAAAGAAGUUUUCCAGAACAAACGCUGCUUUCAGUCACCACCUCAAAAAUCAUUAGAAAGAGAAUGCAUUCCCUUAUUCCUUCUCAACUUCAAU